AUUCAUUGAUAUAAUAUUGGGGUCACCCUGGUGCAUUGUUGUUGCAUUGCAUGUCACCUUGGACGUUGUGCAAUGUUUCUUCAGUGCAGUAUGGUGGUUCCAGCUGUCUUCGUAUCUGCCU
rnacentral:pre_miRNA from 14 species